AACGAACGCUGGCGGCAUGCCUAACACAUGCAAGUCGAACGAGACCUUCGGGUUUAGUGGCGCACGGGUGCGUAACGCGUGGGAACCUUCCCUGAGGUUCGGAAUAACUCCCCGAAAGGGGUGCUAAUACCGGAUAAUGUCUUCGGACCAAAGAUUUAUCGCCUUUGGAUGGGCCCGCGUUGGAUUAGCUAGUUGGUAGGGUAAAUGCCUACCAAGGCGACGAUCCAUAGCUGGUCUGAGAGGAUGAUCAGCCACACUGGGACUGAGACACGGCCCAGACUCCUACGGGAGGCAGCAGUGGGGAAUAUUGGACAAUGGGCGAAAGCCUGAUCCAGCAAUGCCGCGUGAGUGAUGAAGGCCUUAGGGUUGUAAAGCUCUUUUACCCGGGAUGAUAAUGACAGUACCGGGAGAAUAAGCUCCGGCUAACUCCGUG
rnacentral:rRNA from 1 species